rnacentral:rRNA from 1 species
UACAGAGGAGCCAAGCGUUGUUCGGAAUUACUGGGCGUAAAGCGCACGUAGGCGGACAUUUAAGUCAGGGGUGAAAUCCCAGAGCUCAACUCUGGAACUGCCUUUGAUACUGGGUGUCUAGAGUAUGGAAGAGGUGAGUGGAAUUCCGAGUGUAGAGGUGAAAUUCGUAGAUAUUCGGAAGAACACCAGUGGCGAAGGCGACUUACUGGACACAUAUUGACGCUGAGGUGCGAAAGCGUGGGGAGCAAACAGG